GAUGAACGCUGGCGGCGUGCUUAACACAUGCAAGUCGAACGAAGCAUUUAGAACAGAUUAUUUCGGUAUGAAGUUCUUUAUGACUGAGUGGCGGACGGGUGAGUAACGCGUGGGUAACCUGCCUUGUACUGGGGGAUAGCAGCUGGAAACGGCUGGUAAUACCGUAUAAGCGCACGAUGUCGCAUGACAUAGUGUGAAAAACUCCGGUGGUAUAAGAUGGACCCGCGUCUGAUUAGCUAGUUGGUGAGAUAACAGCCCACCAAGGCGACGAUCAGUAGCCGAGCUGGGAGGGUGACCGGCCACAUUGGGACUGAGACACGGCCCAGACUCCUACGGGAGGCAGCAGUGGGGAAUAUUGCACAAUGGAGGAAACUCUGAUGCAGCGACGCCGCGUGAGUGAAGAAGUAAUUCGUUAUGUAAAGCUCUAUCAGCAGGGAAGAUAGUGACGGUACCUGACUAAGAAGCUCCGGCUAAAUACGUGCCAGCCGCCGCCGUAA
rnacentral:rRNA from 1 species